CCUACGGGAGGCAGCAGUGGGGAAUUUUGGACAAUGGGGGCAACCCUGAUCCAGCAAUGCCGCGUGAGUGAAGAAGGCCUUCGGGUUGUAAAGCUCUUUUGUCAGGGAAGAAACGGCGGAGCCUAAUAUGUUCUGCUAAUGACGGUACCUGAAGAAUAAGCACCGGCUAACUACGUGCCAGCAGCCGCGGUAAUACGUAGGGUGUAAGCGUUAAUCGGAAUUACUGGGCGUAAAGCGUGCGCAGGCGGUUGUGCAAGACCGAUGUGAAAUCCCCGGGCUUAACCUGGGAAUGGCAUUGGUGACUGCACGGCUAGAGUGUGUCAGAGGGGGGUAGAAUUCCACGUGUAGCAGUGAAAUGCGUAGAGAUGUGGAGGAAUACCGAUGGCGAAGGCAGCCCCCUGGGAUAACACUGACGCUCAUGCACGAAAGCGUGGGGAGCAAACAGGAUUAGAUACCCUGGUAGUCCACGCCCUAAACGAUGUCAACUAGUUGUCGGGUCUUAAUUGACUUGGUAACGCAGCUAACGCGUGAAGUUGACCGCCUGGGGAUCGGUCGCAAGNUUAAAACUCAAAGGAAUUGACCGGNUGAGAGNGCGAGCGACGACGAGGGAGGAGG
rnacentral:rRNA from 1 species